rnacentral:rRNA from 1 species
UACGUAGGCAGCAAGCGUUGUUCGGAAUUACUGGGCGUAAAGAGUGUGUAGGCGGUGUUCUAAGUUUGUCGUGAAAUCUCCCGGCUUAACUGGGAGGGUGCGGCGAAAACUGGAAUGCUAGAGGAUGGGAGAGGUAAGCGGAAUUCCUGGUGUAGCGGUGAAAUGCGUAGAUAUCAGGAGGAACACCUGUGGCGAAAGCGGCUCCCUGGGACGGUACUGACGCUGAGACGCGAAAGCGUGGGGAGCAAACAGGG